GCUCCUCUCUUAACUAGAUGUCUCGGGUUUGAGCCCUUCUUAUGAAAAAAAUCCUUGGUAGGGAGUGCUUCCCCCGGAAUGGGCCCUAUGCGUGAUCCAAUGAGGGUACCUGAUACCGGGUUGGAAAUCAAAAAUAAAAAUAAAGUAAAAUUAACAUUCUAUUUAUGGUUCGUUAAGGGCCUGUUUGGAAAGCCACCCAGGUAAUUGGAAUUGAGUGUAAUUACACAGUUUGGCCUGUUUGUUUGACCAAGUAAUUACACAGUUAGGUGACAAUUGGGUGUAAUUGAGAGGGUGUAAUUAUACUCUUCAAUUCUCCCGGGUGGGGGGUUGGGAGGGGGGGUGUUGACAAUUGGGUGAAAUUACAUCUUGUAAUUACACAGUUACUUUUUAGUUUGUUUCUUUUUCUAUUAUUUUAAUUUAUUUUUGUUUUUAAUUUAUUUUUUAUUUCUAUUAUUUUAAUUUCUUUUGAUUUUUAAUUUAGUUUUUAUUUCUAUUAUUUUAAUUUCUUCUUUAUUUUUAUUUUUUAAAAUGUAAUUUUCUUUUUAUAAUAUUUAUUUUUCAUUUACUUUCUUCUCUAUUAGACAGUGUCCUACUCCUAGUGCCAGUCCAAUACCUACAGACACAAAUAGCCGACUUACUUGUAGCUAGGAGUCCUAGUUCUAAUGUGUUUCUAUGUAUUUCGUAUGUCUAUAUAUUCUUCCCUCGUUGUAUCAAUUAAAACACACAAUAUAAUAAAACGCACAACUGAUUCUAGAGUCAAUAUUCCUCAUGUUCUAAUAUGGUAUUAGAGCCUCUAACGGACUCGUCAUCCACGUCGUCGACCACCAUUAACACUGCCAGUUCUUCUUUUCCAACACCUCUCUACCAUGUUCACCAUUUUAUUUCAAUUAAGUUAAAUUCCUCCAACUAUCUCUUCUGACAAACACAAAUUUUGCCCUUUCUUCGUGGUCAAGAUCUUUUCCCGUUAUGUUGAUGGCAGUCGCCCGUGCCCUCCAUCUCAUGUGUCGGGCAAAGAAAAAGAAGCAGCUAUUGCUAGUCCAGCCCAUUCUCGCUGGAUUCAACAGGACCAAGUGAUCCUUAGCCUGCUUAUCUCGUCUCUAUCAGAAGAAAUUAUUCCGAUUGUAAUCGGUCUUUCAACAUCCAAAGAAGUUUGGGAUGCGCUGAAGGCAGCUCUUUCCUCGCCAUCCAAUACGAGAAUACUCAAUCUUCAUAUGCAACUUCAACAUAUGAGACAAGAUGAUCUACUUAUCACUCAGUACCUUCACAAAGCGAAACUUAUAUGUGACGAACUAGCUGCUGCAAGUCGUUCGUUGUCUCUUUCCAAUCAGAACAUCUAUAUAUUCAAAGGCCUCCGAAGUGAAUUUAAAGACAUUAUUACCACCUUAUCCGCUCGACCUGAACCAGUCUCGUUCAGUGAAUUACAUAGUCUUAUCCUAAACUAUGAAUUCAUUCACCGGCAGACCCUCUCCUCUCUAUCAAUUACAAAUUCUUCACCGUCGGAACUCGCAUCUAACCUAGCUGCAAAUCUUAGCCAGUGAGCAUCACAAUCUAAUCGCAACUCCAAUGCUAAUCGUGAAAGAGGUCGCCAGAAUUGUCGGGGCAGAAGAGGCUAUCGUGGUGGCAGAAACAACUCAUAUAGGGGGGUCCGAACACUGGACAACAGUGGGUUGAUUCGCGCCAACGCUGCCAAAUAUGCAAUGGUUUCAAUCAUUUAGUCCCCGCGUGUUUUCAGCGCUUCAAUCAUACAAUCAAUCCUACGGCUUACUUAUCGCACCACCCCGCUCCAGUCUCUAGCAAUUCGUAAUGGUUCCUCGACUCUGGCGCCACACAUCAUAUUACGCCUGAUCUUGCUAACCUACAACGAGUGGAAGACUAUCAAGGCACUGACCAAGUUCACGUCGGCAAUGGCCAAGGGCUUCCAAUUCAUCACACUGGAUCGAGCAUCCAAGACACUACUUCUUUCAGGUCGGACUAGUGGAGGCCUCUAUACUCUUCCUCUCAAGUCAUUCUCUCGGUGCCAUUCUUCAAGGUCACCUUCUGCUUUUCUCUCGGCAAAAACAUCCUCUACAUGCUGGCAUCUUCGGCUAGGACACCCUCACUAGCGUGUGUUCCAUCACGUCAUUAGGAAGCAUAGGUUACCUUACUCUAGUUUCAAUUUUAAUCAUAUUUGUAGUGCUGCCAACUUGGCAAGUCGCACAAGUUACAUCUUCCAAUUUCAAUAAAUAAAAGUACUUCUAUUUUGCAAUUA